rnacentral:rRNA from 1 species
UGAAUACGAGACGCUAAGGCGUCGAAGUAGUGUAUGUCAUACUUCCAAGAAAAGCUUGCACUGUCAUAGAUAAAAAACGCCUGUACCAUAACCGACACAGGUGGGUAGGUAGAGUAUACUAAGGGGCGCGAGAUAACUCUCUCUAAGGAACUCGGCAAAAUAACUCCGUAACUUCGGGAGAAGGAGUGCCUUAUUCGUAAGGUUGCAAUAACAAGAUCCAAGCAACUGUUUAUCAAAAACACAGGUCUCCGCUAAGUCGUAAGACGAUGUAUGGGGGCUGACGCCUGCCCAGUGCCAGAAGGUUAAAGAAGUUGGUUAGCAAUUGCGAAGCUGAUAACUGAAGCCCUGGUGAACGGCGGCCGUAACAAUAACGGUCCUAAGGUAGCGAAAUUCCUUGUCGGGUAAGUUCCGACCCGCACGAAAGGCGUAAUGAUUUGGAUACUGUCUCGGAGAGGGGCUCGGUGAAAUAGACUUGUCUGUGAAGAUGCGGACUACCUGCACCAGGACAGAAAGACCCUAUGAAGCUUUACUGUAACUUGAAAUUGAAAUUGGACUUUAUUCGCGCAGUAUAGGUGGGAGGCGUUGAUUAUAAUCUUGUGGGAUUAUUGGAGCCAUCAGUGAGAUACCACUCUUGUAAUGUUAGAUUUCUAACUUUGAAUCAUUAUCUGGUCAAAGAACAGUUUCAGGCGGGCAGUUUGACUGGGGCGGUCGCCUCCUAAACGGUAACGGAGGCGUACAAAGGUUUCCUCUGAACGGUUAGAAAUCGUAUCUAGAGUGUAAAGGCAUAAGGAAGCUUGACUGUGAGACCUACAAGUCGAGCAGGGACGAAAGUCGGUCUUAGUGAUCUGACGGUACUGAGUGGAAAGGCCGUCACUCAACGGAUAAAAGUUACUCUAGGAUAACAGGCUGAUCUCCCCCAAGAGUUCACAUCGACGGGGAGGUUUGGCACCUCGAUGUCGGCUCAUCGCAUCCUGGGGCGGUAGUACGUCCCAAGGGUUGGGCUGUUCGCCCAUGAAAGCGGUACGCGAGCUGGGUUCAGAACGUCGUGAGACAGUUCGGUCCAUAUCCGGUGUAGGCGUUAGAAUAUUGAGAGGAGCCUUCUUUAGUACGAGAGGACCGAGAAGGACAUACCUCUGGUGUACCAGUUAUCGUGCCAACGGUAAACGCUGGGUAGCUAUGUAUGGAGUGGAUAACCGCUGAAAGCAUCUAAGUGGGAAGCCCACCUCAAGAUAAGUAUUCUCAGC